rnacentral:rRNA from 1 species
CAGAGACUGCAAGCGUUACUCGGAUUCACUGGGCGUAAAGGGAGCGCAGGCGGAAUCGUGUGUCGGAUGUGAAACCCGGGGGCUCAACUCCCGGACUGCGUCUGAAACUGCGAUUCUAGGGACUCGGAGGGGCUAGUGGAAUUCUUGGUGGAGCAGUGAAAUGCGUAGAUAUCAAGAGGAACACCAACGGCGAAGGCAGCUAGCUGGACGAGAUCCGACGCUCAGGCUCGAAAGUAUGGGGAGCAAAAAGGAUUAGAUACCCUUGUAGUCCAUACUGUAAACGAUGUCGACUAGGUCUUGGGGCAUUCGAACGCCCCAGGGCUCAAGCUAACGCAAUAAGUCGACCGCCUGAGGACUACGGUCGCAAGACUA